GUAUUAUCCAUGCUCUUAGUUGGUUUUGUUUUAAAUUUAGGUUUUAUUAGUGUUUGAUUUGAUUUUGCUCAGAACAAAAUGAACAAGUAUUGAGAACAAGUAUUUGAUUUUUAUUUGAGAACAAGUAUUGCUCAGAAAAAAUGAACAAGUAUUUGAUUUGAUUUUGUUUAAAGUUGUUUACGUUUUGAAUUGAUCACCGUUUAUGUUUAUGUUUUGAUUGGUAGUUUAUGAACAAGUAUUGAGUAUUGUAAGGAACAAUAUGGGCAAUUUUUAUGAACAAGUUUUUAGGCAUUGGAGGUACUCUGCUGUGAGGGAUUCUAUUAUGCCUCUAGCUAUUUGAUCAUGUGUGCUUACAAACAUAUGUUGAUGUUUGAGUGGAUUUUGUGGAAUUUGGCUUGUUUUUAAGUUUUUUGGAAGGAAGUGUUUUGGACAUUGAUUUAAAACAGACCCACAUUUAAACAUUGACAUUGAUUUAAAACAGACCCCACAUUUGAAAAUGAACAGGGACAACAUGAUGUUGAAUUUGAAUUGAACUUGCUUUGUUUACUGUUUCAAGUAAAUGUAUCAUGAUCAUGUGUACCAGUGAAUUGAGUUUCUUCAUGUUAUUGUUGGUUUGAAGAAUUUGUAUUUGUACUGUUAAACUUAAAUUGAGUUUCUCUCUAAAUAUCUAUUUUAUUUCACUUUGAAGCUUUGUAUUUGUACUGUUAAACUUAGAUUGAGUUUCUCUCUAAAUAUCUAUUUUAUUUCACUUUGAAGCUACAAUGGAUAUUGAGUCAAACAAUAAUUCAUUCAAUGUGAGUGAGGAAAUUAAAGAACAUGGUAACAAUCUUGAAUUUAAUGAGAGUAGUGAAGUUGAAGAAUCAAAGAAGGGGAUGUAUUUUACCUCAAAGCAAGAAGUGUACGCAUUUUAUGCAAAAUAUGCGAAACAACUCGGAUUUGUUAUAGCUUAUAGAACACAAAAUGUAACAACGGAUGGGGGAGUGAAGUACUUUGGAAUUGAAUGUACUAAGGCACGGAAUAGAACAAAAAGAUCAGAAGUAAAUCCCCUAGAACCAUCUUUGUCAUCAAAAAUUGAUUGUAAAACAAGGGUAAGAGCCAAUCUACAAAAGGAUGGAAGCUAUAAGUUAACCACAGUUGCGCUUGAGCACACUUAUGAUUUGAUUCCUACUGACUCACGAUAUUUUGCAAUGAAUAAGAGGAUUCUUACUCCGGUGAAGAGGAGACUAAAAGUUAAUGAUGCAGCAGGGAUUGGGGUGGCUAGGAAUUUUCAUUCCAUAGUUGUUGAAGCCGAGGGAUAUAAGGCAUUAACAUUUGAUGAACGAGAUGCAAGAAAUUAUAUUCAGAAUGCUAGAAGAUUGAGACUUGGAGUAGGAGACGCGAAAUCAAUUACACUUUAUUUUCAUAAAAUGCAACAACAAAAUUCGAACUUCUAUUCGGCAAUUGACCUUGAUGAAGAUGGUCGCAUGCGAAACUUGGUUUGGGCAGAUGCAAGGAGUAGGGCUGCUUAUAAAGCAUUUGGGGAUGUUGUCUCCUUUGACACAACCUAUUUGACAAACAAAUAUGAUAAGUCGUUUGCUCCGUUUGUAAGAGUUAAUCACCAUGGACAGUCAAUUUUGUUUGGUCAUGGGUUAUUAUGUAAUGAGAACAGUGAGACAUUUGUUUGGCUAUUCAAAGAAUGGUUAAGUUGCAUAUCAGAUGCUCCCCCAAAAGCUAUAAUAACUGACCAGUGCAGAGUUAUGCAAAAUGCCAUAGAAAUUGUCUUCCCACAUGCUCGACAUCGUUGGUGUUUAUGGCCCGUAAUGAAAAAAAUUCCAGAGAAAUUGAGAGGAUAUUCGCAAUAUGAAUCCAUCAAGGCUACUUUGAGUAAUGCAGUUUAUGAUUCAUUUACAUAAGAUGAAUUUGAUGAAUACUGGGAAGCAAUGAUUGCAAAAUUCAAUUUGAAUGAUAAUGAGUGGUUAGGGGUAUUAUACCGUGAGCGACAUAGAUAGAUUCCUGCCUAUGUGAAAGACAUAUUUUGGGGUGGUAUGUCAACUACACAACGAAGUAAGAGCAUAAAUGUAUUUUUUGAUGGAUAUGUGAACUCCAAGACAAGCUUAAAGUAAUUUGUUGAGCAAUAUGACAAUGCCUUGAGAAGUAAGGUAGAGAAUAAGACAAGAGUAGAUUUUUAAGUCCUGUAACAAAUUGCAUGAUUGCUUAACGGUGUAUCGUUUUGAGAAGCAAUUUCGUGCAGCUUACACUAAUUCAAAAUUUAAAGAAGUUCAAGCAGAAUUGAAGCGUCUAGUGUAUUGUCGUGCAAAUCUUAUCAAUAAGGAGAGAGCAAUUUGUACCUAUCAUGUGAAGGAGGCUGUUCUUCUGGGUGAGGGGAUGAAGAAAGUGGAAUUUGUUGUGCACUGUAAUUCAACUGAAUGUGACCUCUAAUGUAUGUGUCGGUUGUUUGAGUUUAGAGGUAUUAUAUAUGCCCAUUCACUUUGUGUGUUCAUUGAGAGGUCCAUAUAUGAGGUGCCAAAUAAAUACAUUAUUCCGAGAUGGAGAAAAGACGUGGAAAGAGAAUAUACAUGCAUUCCAACCACAUAUACUAUAUUUGGGGCUGCUCUAAAUCCAAAGUUACAUGAUAACUAUCACAAGACAUUGGAUGAGAUCCUAGAACUUACUACCAAUGAUGAUGGUAAACACGAAGUGAUUCAACUUGGGUUGAUAGAAAUCAAGGAUAGAGUGAGACCAGUUCAAUCGAGUAGUACGAGUAAUUUGCCAUGUACUAAUACUGUACCAACUUCUACAAGUACUUUACCACCUUCCCAUACUUCACCGAAAAGUUCGUUUGCUCGCAAUACUAUAAAAGAAAGCAUCACUCGCAAGGUACUUUAUCCUUUGGUUGCUCGCCGACGAGGCCAUCCAUGUAUGAAACGGAAGGUUAACAAAGUUGAUACAAUAGUGAUGCGGUUGAAACGAAAUAAUAAGAAGGCUACUCCUGUACAGGGUCACAAGGUGUGUCAAGGUAAACCUCGUAAGUUAAACUUUCCUUGUACAGGUGGCGUGCAACAUACUAUGGAUGAACCAGUACGUGUUAAAAUAUAAAGGUUGUGUUUGUAUGGUUUUUGUGGAUAUUUAUUUUAAUGAAGUGUGUUACUAUUUGAUCAUAAGGGGCUGCAAAAUCAAUCUUACUAUUUUCCUUCUAUGGAUGGCACACAAGACAAUAUAUAUAUACCAGUGCCGCAAGAUGAACCUUACUAUUUUCCUUGCAUGGAUGGCAUACAAGACAGUAUGCACGGGUUAGCACAAUACAAAUGGCGGACAAUAUUGGAAGCAUAUCUCAUACUCAAUCAGGAAUGGUCAACAAUAUAAACAGUCAAAGUUCGACAGUAGCAUCAAAAUUUGUUGACUUGAAUAUAGAUGGGGGCCAAAUGUCCCAUUUUUUUUUUUUUAGUUUCGUACUAGUAAUUAUAUGGCAUUUGUAUAUGUGAACUUUGGAUAGUUUGGUUUUAUUUCGUUUGGAUACAUUUUGUGGCAAUGUUUGUGUUGGCUCGAUGUUCUGCCAAUGUUUGAAAAGAGUUCAUUUUUUGUUUGGUUAUUUUUGUGAAAAAUGACAGUAGGGUUCAUUUUGUGGCAAUGUUUUUGUUGGCUCAUUU